rnacentral:rRNA from 1 species
UUUGGAGAGUUUGAUCCUGGCUCAGGACGAACGCUGGCGGCGUGCUUAACACAUGCAAGUCGAGCGGAAAGGCCCUUCGGGGUACUCGAGCGGCGAACGGGUGAGUAACACGUGAGUAACCUGCCCC